UCCCCUUUUUUUGGUGUGUGUCUGUUUUUUAGAGUCAGGAAAACCUUGCGGCUGGAUUCAAACUUUUUGGGGGUCAGAGAGAGACUGUAACCUUUCUCUCUGAGAGAGAGAGUAGAACCUUGCUUUCAAAGAGAGAGAGAGAGAGAGAGAGAGAGGAGAGAGAGAUGGAGCAGUUGCAGAGAUUGUAGAAAGCCUUAGGGCCUGGUACAAUUAGGAACCAUGUCUUCUGUGUACAUUUUGGAGCCACCAACGAGGGGGAAGGUGGUGAUGAACACGACCAUGGGACCCCUUGACAUAGAGCUUUGGCCUAAAGAAGCUCCCAAAGCCGUGAGGAAUUUUGUUCAGCUCUCCUUAGAAGGCUAUUACGAGAACACUAUCUUCCAUCGAAUCAUUAAAUCCUUUAUGGUUCAGGGUGGCGACCCAGCUGGUUCUGGCACAGGUGGCGAAAGCAUUUAUGGGGGAAAGUUUGCAGAUGAGUUUCACUCCCGACUAAGAUUCAACCACAGGGGCUUGGUUGCAUGUGCAAAUGCUGGAUCAUCUCACACAAACGGAAGCCAAUUUUUCAUUUCUUUGGACCGUUGCGACUGGCUUAAUAACAAGAACACCAUUUUCGGCAAGGUCACUGGAGACUCAAUAUAUAAUCUGUUGAGGUUAGAGGAUGUAGAGACUGGUGAGAAUGAUAGGCCAUUAGAUCCACCUCCCAGGAUCAUCUCUAUUGAGGUACUAUGGAAUCCCUUUGAUGAUAUUAUUCCUAGACAACCCCAACACAAGGCCAUUCCAAAUGAUGUUGAAAGCAAGGAUCAAAAGAAGAAAGCCAUAAAGAAGCUGAACUUGCUGUCUUUUGGAGCAGAAGCAGAAGAGGAGGAGAAAGAGUCGGCAGUUGUGAAGGAAAAGAUCAAGAGUAGUCAUGACGUACUUGAUGACCCUCGUCUCCUCAAAGAAAAGCCACAAUCUAUUGAAGAGAGCUCAUCAGAAGCCAAGAGAAAAAAGGACGUUCAAGCUUCAGUGAGGGAAGCUUUGAGCUCAAAGAGAGAUGAUACAGGUGUCUCAGCAGAAAAUAGAUCAGCUGCUCUUCCUGACCUGAGUGAUGAUGAUGAGGCCAGCUUUGAUGCUCGAAUGCGUCUACAAAUUCUUAAUAAAAGGAAAGAGAUGGGGGAAGUAAGAGGUCUUGAAAAUUUCAGUAGAGACAAAAAAAAUUCUAAAGAGAAAGAAAUUGCUUCUCCAAGGGAUGAUAGUGAUGAUGAUUUGAAGGAACAAAAUAGGAAGAGUAAACUCUCUUUGAAACAUAAAGGAAUAGGAUCAGAAGCCAGGAAGGAACGCGAAGCUCAAGCAGAUGUUGAUUUGCAGCUUCUGAGCCAUGCUGAGCAGGAAAGGCAGAAGCAGAAGCAAAAAAAGCGCAGGCUUCAGGGCCAUGGAGAACAAGUACGAAAAGCACAAGGAAAAAACACUGGCAAAGCUGGAGAAGUUCAGAAGUUCCUUCUUUUCUGCAAAGUUGGGUACUGCUACAAACAAACCUGAGAAUGAGGGUAAUGAGGACGAAGAUCUAUCUGAUUGGAGAUCUCAUAAGCUAAAAUGCAUGCCUGACCCUUCUAACAAGGACGCAAUGGCUCGGAAAGAUGACUCUGACAUGUAUGUGGUUGAAGAUCCUCUUCUUGAGAAGGGUAAACAGAAAUUCAACAGGAUGCAAGCAAAGAUGAAGCGGCGCGAGCGUGAAUGGGCUGGGAAAUCAAUAACUUGAUUCAUUCCCCUGUUAUGUACGUCACUGCUACAUAUUCUUUCAAGCAUUGAAACCAGUUUUUCUCUCAGGUAUAUUCAAAGCAAUUCUCAACUGGGAAUGCGCAUUUCAAAUUUUCCGCUGUGUAUCACUCUAUGCCAUUCUGUAGGUGACGGAUCCAAAAUAAUCACCAUUCACAUGCUGGAGUGCGUUUAACAGAGUGGAGAAUACUAGUUUAUAGAAGAGGAUUUCAUGUCUCGAUAGAGAGAUACUUUACUCUAGCAUCUGAAAAAAUAGGUAAUCAUCAUUCAGUGCAAAGUCGUUGCCAUCAAGCAAAGGGACUUGCUUUAAUCACCUCUGGUGAUUCUCAAUGAUAGCAAUUGAAGUUUAGUCACAGGUUUCUGUAAAUUUGUACAAUAUGAUUUGGAGAAGGUUGGGUUGCGCACAUAACUCCAGCAUUGAUUGUUUGGGUCAUAGAUGGAAAAGACUCUGUUCUUGGCAGAAGAAGCAAGCCCCCCCAACCUUGUCAGGUUCUUUAAUCAAAGAGCCUAUAGAGGCGCCCGUUGUGUUGAAGUUGAUCA